rnacentral:rRNA from 1 species
AACGAACGCUGGCGGCAGGCUUAACACAUGCAAGUCGAACGCCCCGCAAGGGGAGUGGCAGACGGGUGAGUAACGCGUGGGAAUCUACCCAGUUCUACGGAACAACACAGGGAAACUUGUGCUAAUACCGUAUACGCCCUACGGGGGAAAGAUUUAUCGGAAUUGGAUGAGCCCGCGUUGGAUUAGCUAGUUGGUGGGGU